rnacentral:rRNA from 2 species
CAACUUUCAACAACGGAUCUCUUGGCUCUUGCAUCGAUGAAGAACGCAGCGAAAUGCGAUAAGUAAUGUGAAUUGCAGAAUUCAGUGAAUCAUCGAAUCUUUGAACGCACCUUGCGCUCCUUGGUAUUCCGAGGAGCAUGCCUGUUUGAGUGUCAUUA